UACGGGGGGGGCAAGCGUUGUUCGGAAUUACUGGGCGUAAAGGGCGUGUAGGCGGCCAACUAAGUCCGACGUGAAAUCCCCAGGCUUAACCUGGGAACUGCGUCGGAUACUGGAUGGCUUGAAUCCGGGAGAGGGAUGUGGAAUUCCAGGUGUAGCGGUGAAAUGCGUAGAUAUCUGGAGGAACACCGGUGGCGAAGGCGGCAUCCUGGACCGGUAUUGACGCUGAGGCGCGAAAGCUAGGGGAGCAAACGGG
rnacentral:rRNA from 1 species